GAGGGAAAGUUGAAAAGAACUUUGAAGAGAGAGUUCAAGAGUACGUGAAACCGUUUAGAGGCAAACGGAUGGGACCGCAAGGUUGUCCCCUGCAAUUCAACCUGUCCGAGCAGCCGUCGCUGCGUCGUCCGGAUCUAACGACCGGCGGCGUGGCGAGCGGCUGUCGGCGGGCGCACUUUGCAGGGGACGAGCGCCACGACCGGUUCCCCGGCGGUCGGAAGCCCCGCGAGAAGGUGGCUCCCCUCGGGGAGUGUUAUAGAUCGCGGAGGUGUUGGCCCGCUGGAGGACCGAGGAUCUCCCGCCGUGGUUGGGGCCCCCGGCCUCGGUCGAACGUCCGACUUGCGUGGACUGUCCUCAGUGUUCGCAGACCGCGGGCGACCGAUGGACCGGACUCUCCCCAGCCGACCCAGGGUCAGUGGCGAGUCGGUCGGAACCCUAUCCGACCCGUCUUGAAACACGGACCAAGGAGUCUAACAUGUGCGCGAGUCAUGGAGCUUUACGAAACUCGCAGGCGCAAUGAAAGUGAAGGCUUGUCUCUCGACGAGCCCAGGUAGGAUCCCCGCAAGGGGCGCACUACCGGCCCGUCUCGAUCUUAGCGUAGAUGAGGCGGAGCAAGAGCGUACACGUUGGGACCCCAAA
rnacentral:rRNA from 1 species